rnacentral:pre_miRNA from 1 species
AUACAAAUCAUCUAGUGGUCUUGUUAAAAUUCAGAUUCUGAUUCUGUAGAUCUAGGGUGGGACCAAGGAAUUUGCAUUUUCAACAAGUUCCCAGAUGAUGCUGAU